CAUGCGCAUAUUGCUAUGAUGUACUCUUGGAUGAAGGUCGUUGUGAUUUCAAAUUCUCCGUGGGAAAAUCUGUGUUUGACGGCGUUCAAGAGCAGAGUUCUCUACAUUUGGCCCAACAGCUCAAAUGGAAACUAGAGCACAAGAUCAGAAGGAAGCUGCCACACAUGGCCUUAUGACUGUUGCCCCAGUGAAGAACCCGAGGUCCAGCCUUCCCCACUCAAGACAUGCCUGAGACGAGAGUGGCUGUAUUCCAAGUUGAUCCAAGGUGAUCCUAACUUAAAUGUAGUUCACCACUUGAAAAAGACAAAAAUACUCAACACUAU